GCAAAAUGGAGUCUCUGUCCCAGCUUCUCUGUGGGCUCCUGAUGCUUUGGGUCCCAGUUUCCAGGGGAGAAAUUGUGCUGACCCAGUCUCCAGCCUCGGUGUCUGUGAGCCCAGGAGAGAGAGUCACCAUCAGCUGCAAGGCCAGUCAGAGUGUUGUACACAGUGAUAGAAACACUUACCUAAGCUGGCUCCAACAGAAACCCGGACAGUCUCCUAGGAUGCUCAUUUACCAGGUUUCCAACCUGGUCUCAGGAGUCCCCGCCCGCUUCAGUGGCAGUGGUGCUGAGAAGGAUUUCACCCUCACAAUCAGCAGUGUGGAGGCUGAAGAUGGGGCAGAAUAUUACUGUGCUCAAGGAAUUUAUUCUCCUCCCACAGUGUUACAGCCCUGAACAAAAACCUCCCCAGGCCUGGGCUGGCUGCUCAGGGAGGCCCAGCUGCCUCCCUCCUUCCUCUGCUGCAGCAGCUGCUGGAGGCCUACCCAGGGGCAGGGUCUCUGGGGCUGAUGAGACAAAAGGGACUCGGGGCUCAGGGGAAAGGUCACGGUCUGAGAGCUCGGGGCUCUGGGGACUCUUGCUCCUCUUCAGCCAUGAGCAGAAUCAUCAAAGAGAGAACCACUGGCUCAGACUGGGUCACCCCACAAUGCCCUGGGCCUGAGGCACUCUCCUAUUCCUAUGUUAUCUGACUCCCCUCAGCACAAGAAACAAAGAGAAAAUAGCAACUUCUGGCCAGAAAUUCUUUCUGUCCUUUCUCCCUGGCUCAAUAUUCCACAGCAGUCAAUGACUCUUGGGACCAAGAGCACUAGAAGAUCAGGCAACAGGCUAAUGGAAUCCAUCCAAGGGCCCAGCUUAAAAUUCACACUCUGGAUUCAUUUUCUCUGACCAUACAUUUAAAUCAGAUUGUUAUCUACUUUUAUUUUAUUCAUUCAUGCUGGGGGCUAUAAAGAGCUCUCUGAAGUCUCCUCUGUCCACUCUUUUCAAAGGAAGACUUCAAUUCCUACAAAGGGGAAUAAGAGACGGGCGCCAAGAAGCUGAAUAUUCUGUUCUCCUCAUAGUUUUGGAGUCUGCUCAGAAUCAUAAUGACCUCCCCCAUCUUAAUAAUAUUAACCUAAUAAAACUAAUCUUUUAUGAUUCAAUUGAUGGAAACUGUGAUCUUUGGGGGAAGAGUGAACCUGGGUUAGAAUCCCACCUCCUCCUGCCUAUUGGGAGGGGCCCCACUGUCCUUUUUAGAGGGGAAACUCCCAUACCAUCUUUAUCCACAAUUCAAUUGUAGAUCUUGGCCUGGGGCAUAAUCACCACCCUUUAUUGAGUUGAAAAUUAGUUCCUCAAAUUCAUCUAGAGUUUGGCCCCCUUGGCUUUGGGCCCUUUGCAAAGCAAUCUCCUGUCUCUUCUCUGGCUCAGACUGUGGCCAGAGCUCUUGCUUUCCUCUCUGCUCUGAAACAGCCCUUUCUGUGUUCUCUGCCUCAGCGUUUCGCUGGAGCUCUUGCACUUCUUGUUCUAAUUGCUGUAAUCCCGCCUUUGCUCUGUCCCCUGCUUCUGCUCUAAGCCAAAAUUCCUGCUUCUUUGUUCCAUCUGUUGAAUCCCCUCCCCCUCUCUUGCUGAGCUGUACUUAAGGGGUGUGGGGGUACUUUCCUUCAUUGCCUUCAUCACCUGGGGGCACAUGUAAGCCUUCUAAGGAGGGAUGUGUGCCCUUUGGCACUGGGGGCUCUCCUGCUGCUUUUCCUUUUCUUUGGGUGUGUUUUUGGUUAAAGAAUCACCGGUUCUAGUUUCUAACUCAGAAGCUUGCUCUGUAUUUACAACUCUCCUCUCGGGCCUGGUCACAGUUUGACCCACAGUGCAUCUCUACCUUCCCUUCCGGACCAGAAACUCUUGUGGCUUCUCGA